GUAACUGACCUAGCGGCGGACGGGUGAGUAAUACUUAGGAAUCUGCCUAUUAGUGGGGGACAACGUUCCGAAAGGGACGCUAAUACCGCAUACGCCCUACGGGGGAAAGGAGGGGAUCACUUGUGACCUUUCGCUAAUAGAUGAGCCUAAGUCGGAUUAGCUAGUUGGUGGGGUAAAGGCCUACCAAGGCGACGAUCUGUAGCGGGUCUGAGAGGAUGAUCCGCCACACUGGGACUGAGACACGGCCCAGACUCCUACGGGAGGCAGCAGUGGGGAAUAUUGGACAAUGGGGGGAACCCUGAUCCAGCCAUGCCGCGUGUGUGAAGAAGGCCUUAUGGUUGUAAAGCACUUUAAGCGAGGAGGAGGCUCCUAUAGAUAAUACCUAUAGAGAGUGGACGUUACUCGCAGAAUAAGCACCGGCUAACUCUGUGCCAGCAGCCGCGGUAAUACAGAGGGUGCGAGCGUUAAUCGGAUUUACUGGGCGUAAAGCGUACGUAGGCGGCUUUUUAAGUCGGAUGUGAAAUCCCCGAGCUUAACUUGGGAAUUGCAUUCGAUACUGGGAAGCUAGAGUAUGGGAGAGGAUGGUAGAAUUCCAGGUGUAGCGGUGAAAUGCGUAGAGAUCUGGAGGAAUACCGAUGGCGAAGGCAGCCAUCUGGCCUAAUACUGACGCUGAGGUACGAAAGCAUGGGGAGCAAACAGGAUUAGAUACCCUGGUAGUCCAUGCCGUAAACGAUGUCUACUAGCCGUUGGGGCCUUUGAGGCUUUAGUGGCGCAGCUAACGCGAUAAGUAGACCGCCUGGGGAGUACGGUCGCAAGACUAAAACUCAAAUGAAUUGACGGGGGCCCGCACAAGCGGUGGAGCAUGUGGUUUAAUUCGAUGCAACGCGAAGAACCUUACCUGGUCUUGACAUAGUAGAAACUUUCCAGAGAUGGAUUGGUGCCUUCGGGAA
rnacentral:rRNA from 1 species